rnacentral:rRNA from 1 species
AUGAACAAAGGCAGCAUCCACAAAAAGGAGACGCACGGAACAAGCGACGACAUAAGCGAGAACACGCCUGUGGAGAAGGUCAGGGGCCCCAAUCUGUUUGAACGGGCCAAGGAAGAGAUCGAGGCUCUUGUGGAGGCUGUUCACGAUAAGAUGGAGCACCAUUCCAGUCCCCGCAGGAAGGAGGGUGAAUUGCACAAGGAUUCCAAGGAACACAGUGAGGCAAACAUGCAUAAGAAGACCCAUGAGAACGAAACUCAUGGUACAAGCAAUGAUAUAAGUGAGGACACGCCUGUCAGCAAAGUCAAAGGCCCGGGCGUGUUUGAACGUGCCAAGGAAGAGAUCGAAGCUAUCGCUGAGGCCAUCCAUCCGAAGAAAGAAUCCGACAAGUGA